UACGUAGGUGGCAAGCGUUGUCCGGAUUUACUGGGCGUAAAGCGCGCGCAGGCGGACUGUUCCGUCUGGGGUGAAAUCUCACGGCUCAACUGUGAGCGGUCCCUGGAUACUGUCAGUCUUGAGUGGCUAGAGGAGAGCGGAAUUCCCGGUGUAGUGGUGGAAUGCGUAGAUAUCGGGAAGAACACCAGUGGCGAAAGCGGCUCUCUGGGGACCAUCUGACGCUGAGGCGCGAAAGCGUGGGGAGCGAACCGG
rnacentral:rRNA from 1 species